GACGAACGCUGGCGGCGUGCUUAACACAUGCAAGUCGAACGGAAAGGCCCUGCUUUUGUGGGGUGCUCGAUUGGCGAACGGGUGAGUAACACGUGAGUAACCUGCCCUUGACUUUGGGAUAACUUCAGGAAACUGGGGCUAAUAUCGGAUAGGAUCUCCUGCUGCAUGGGGGGGGUUGGAAAGUUUCGGCGGUUGGGGAUGGACUGGCGGGUUAUCAGCUUGUUGGUGGGGUAGUGGUUUACCAAGGGUUUGACGGGUAGCCGGCCUGAGAGGGUGACCGGGCACCUUGGGACUGCGAUAGGGCGCAGUAUGCUAUGGGACGCAGCAGUGGGGAAUAUUGCAGAACGGGGGGAAGUCUGAUGCAGAAACGCCGCGUGCGGGAUGCCGGCCUUCGGGUUGUAAACCGAUUUCGACUGAGACGAAGCGUGCGUGACGGUAAUGGGUAAAGAAGCACCGGCUAACUACGUG
rnacentral:rRNA from 1 species